rnacentral:lncRNA from 1 species
CGGGCAGCAGACAGUGGUCAGUCCUUUCUUGGCUCUGCUGACACUCGAGCCCACAUUCCGUCACCUGCUCAGAAUCAUGCAGGUCUCCACUGCUGCCCUUGCUGUCCUCCUCUGCACCAUGGCUCUCUGCAACCAGUUCUCUGCAUCACGUGAGUCUGAGUUUCGUUGUGGGUAUCACCACUCUCUGGCCAUGGUUAGACCACAUCAAUCUUUUCUUGUGGCCUAAAAGCCCCCAAGAGAAAAGAGAACUUCUUAAAGGGCUGCCAAACAUCUUGGUCUUUCUCUUUAAGACUUUUAUUUUUAUCUCUAGAAGGGGUCUUAGCCCCCUAGUCUCCAGGUAUGAGAAUCUAGGCAGGGGCAGGGGAGUUACAGUCCCUUUUACAGAUAGAAAAACAGGGUUCGAAACGAAUCAGUUAGCAAGAGGCAGAAUCCAGGGCUGCUUACUUCCCAGUGGGGUAUGUUGUUCACUCUCCAGCUCACUCUAGGUCUCCCAGGAGCUCUGUCCCUUGGAUGUCUUAUGAGAGAUGUCCAAGGCUUCUCUUGGGUUGGGGUAUGACUUCUUGAACCAGACAAAAUUCCCUGAAGAGAACUGAGAUAAGAGAACAGUCCGUUCAGGUAUCUGGAUCACACAGAGAAACAGAGAACCCACUAUGAAGAGUCAAGGAGAAAGAAGGAUACAGACAGAAACAAAGAGACAUUUCUCAGCAAAAAUGCCCAAAUGCCUUCCAGUCACUUGGUCUGAGCAAGCCUGCCUUCCUCAACUGCUCGGGGAUCAGAAGCUGCCUGGCCUUUUCUUCUGAGCUCCUUGGGAACAUGCGUGUGACCUCCACAGCUACCUCUUCUAUGGACUGGUUGUUGCCAAACAGCCACACUGUGGGACUCUUCUUAACUUAAAUUUUAAUUUAUUUAUACUAUUUAGUUUUUGUAAUUUAUUUUCGAUUUCACAGUGUGUUUGUGAUUGUUUGCUCUGAGAGUUCCCCUGUCCCCUCCCCCUUCCCUCACACCGCGUCUGGUGACAACCGAGUGGCUGUCAUCAGCCUGUGUAGGCAGUCAUGGCACCAAAGCCACCAGACUGACAAAUGUGUAUCGGAUGCUUUUGUUCAGGGCUGUGAUCGGC